rnacentral:rRNA from 1 species
AUGCAAGUCGAACGGGAAACCUUUUAUUGAAGCUUCGGCAGAUUUAGAUUGUUUCUAGUGGCGGACGGGUGAGUAACGCGUGGGUAACCUGCCUUAUACAGGGGGAUAACAGUCAGAAAUGACUGCUAAUACCGCAUAAGCGCACAGAGCUGCAUGGCUCGGUGUGAAAAACUACGGUGGUAUAAGAUGGACCCGCGUUGGAUUAGCUAGUUGGUGGGGUAACGGCCCACCAAGGCGACGAUCCAUAGCCGGCCUGAGAGGGUGAACGGCCACAUUGGGACUGAGACACGGCCCAGACUCCUACGGGAGGCAGCAGUGGGGAAUAUUGCACAAUGGGGGAAACCCUGAUGCAGCGACGCCGCGUGAAGGAAGAAGUAUCUCGGUAUGUAAACUUCUAUCAGCAGGGAAGAUAGUGACGGUACCUGACUAAGAAGCCCCGGCUAACUACGUGCCAGCAGCCGCGGUAAUACGUAGGGGGCAAGCGUUAUCCGGAUUUACUGGGUGUAAAGGGAGCGUAGACGGUGUGGCAAGUCUGAUGUGAAAGGCAUGGGCUCAACCUGUGGACUGCAUUGGAAACUGUCAUACUUGAGUGCCGGAGGGGUAAGCGGAAUUCCUAGUGUAGCGGUGAAAUGCGUAGAUAUUA